rnacentral:rRNA from 1 species
UACGUAGGGACCAAGCGUUGUCCGGAAUCAUUGGGCGUAAAGAGCGUGUAGGCGGCUUGUUAAGUCUUGCGUGAAAUCUCGGGCUCAACCCGAGCGGUCGUGAGAAACUGGCAGGCUAGAGUGCGGGAGAGGAGAGUGGAAUUCCUGGUGUAGCGGUGAAAUGCGCAGAUAUCAGGAAGAACACCCGUGGCGAAGGCGGCUCUCUGGAACGCAACUGACGCUGAGACGCGAAAGCCAGGGGAGCAAACAGG